GUCGUCAGGAUGAACGCUAGCUACAGGCUUAACACAUGCAAGUCGCGGGGCAUCAUGGUCCUAGCUCGCUAGGGCUGAUGGCGACCGGCGCACGGGUGCGUAACGCGUAUCCAACCUGCCCCACAGCGGGGAAUAGCCCGGCGAAAGUCGGAUUAAUGCCCCAUGUUCUCCACGGCGGGCAUCUAAGGUGGAGCAAAGGCCUUUCGGCCGCUAUGGGAUGGGGAUGCGUAGGAUUAGGCAGGCGGCGGGGUAACGGCCCACCGCGCCGACGAUCCUUAGGGGUUCUGAGAGGAAGGUCCCCCACACUGGUACUGAGACACGGACCAGACUCCUACGGGAGGCAGCAGUGAGGAAUAUUGGUCAAUGGGCGAUAGCCUGAACCAGCCAAGUAGCGUGCCAGGACGGCGGCCCUAUGGGUUGUAAACUGCUUUUAUGCGGGGAUAAAGUGCGCCACGCGUGGCGUUUUGCAGGUACCGCAUGAAUAAGGACCGGCUAAUUCCGUGCCAGCAGCCGC
rnacentral:rRNA from 1 species